rnacentral:rRNA from 1 species
GAUGAACGCUGGCGGCGCGCCUAACACAUGCAAGUCGAACGAUUAAACCGCCCUUGGGCGGAUAUACAGUGGCGAACGGGUGAGUAACGCGUGACCAACCUUCCCCCCGCAUCGGGACAACCCGGGGAAACCCGGGCUAAUACCGGAUAUGCCGGGUAUGGCGCAUGUCAUACCCAGGAAAGCUUUUGCGGCGGGGGAUGGGGUCGCGUCCCAUCAGGUAGACGGCGGGGUAGUAGCCCACCGUGCCAACGACGGGUAGCCGGGUUGAGAGACCGACCGGCCACAUUGGGACUGAGAUACGGCCCAGACUCCUACGGGAGGCAGCAGUGGGGAAUCUUGCGCAAUGGGGGAAACCCUGACGCAGCGACGCCGCGUGCGGGAUGGAGGCCUUCGGGCCGUGAACCGCUUUCAGCAGGGAAGACAUUAAGGACGG